rnacentral:lncRNA from 1 species
CACGGGGGAAAGAAGAAUGUCAGCAAGUGUGGCUUUGGAUUACGAGGCGGUUUCUUUUUUUUUUUUUAAUUUUUUUUAACGUUUUAUUUAUUUUUGAGACAGAGAGACACAGAGCAUGAACGGGGGAGGGGCCGAGAGAGAGGGAGACACAGAUUCGGAAACAGGCUCCAGGCUCUGAGCCAUCAGCCCAGAGCCCGACGCAGGGCUCGAACUCACGGACCGCGAGAUAGUGACCUGAGCUGAAGUCAGACGCUUAACCGACUGAGCCACCCAGGCGCCCGGAGGCGGUUUCUUAAGGGGAGGCUGUGUGGGUAUGAACAGCUCCUGAGUUGCCUUCGGAGGCGGACUGACGCCCGCCUCCGUGCGCUGCCGGGCAGAGCCGGGCCGGGGCUGCUUGGUGUCCCGAGGACGGCGAGUCUCUACUCUUUUCUCGCCACACGCCCCCCUCGGCUGACCUGGACGCGUCCCACUUGGGUGGUCCCGGCGUGCGGAAAGGGUGUCGUUCACCUGCAACUGCUUUGUGACGGAGCGUUCCUCCCCGUGACGAACCUUGGUGGCGUUUGGCAGGACGAGCAGCACGGGUGGCCCUGCCUUUCAGGCACCCACGUGCCAGGAAACAGCAGAGACAAAAGAGAAAACUCUGUAACCAUUGGCCUCCACCCAGGAACCUGGAAGAAAAUGAAGCAAGACAAACAACAGAGAAAUGUGAACAGCAAAAGAGCGAACUCAGAUGCAUUAAAUGGCUUAACAGUCUUAUGCUACAGCCCCAGCAGAACCUUCUUUGAAAGACCACAACAACUGCAGUGAUUAAAAAGGAGCCUGAUUCUCCCAGAGCCUAAGCUCCCGGGAGGGGGAGGAAGGUCAAGUGAGGAAUUUGAAGAAGCCAUGUUAACCUUUUCAAUUACAAAAUGCCUGCAGGGACUUGAUUCACGAAACCAGGCUGAAGACCACAAGCAUUUAUGAUCCUUCUAAAUAUACCCAAUGAGCCUCCGGAAGUAUCUCAGGUAGUCAGAACCCAGCUCUGUAAAACACAUAAAUACAUUUUAAAUAGCAGUAACUGUUUCCACCCUUCUAUUUUUUUUUUUUUUUUUUUAUGAGUGCGCUCCAAAUAGAAAUGUUGGCGGUCACCCCUUUCAUACCACUAUUUAUAUUGAACUUAUCAGCAUAUAAAUGGAAGCACGGGUAGGUUCACAGAGCAGGUCUUGGGUUAUUUGCUUUCAACUUCAGAGCCAGACAGUCCUGAGUUCCUAGUGACAGUGAAAAGAGAGACACAAGUAAGCGUUCUCGCCUCCGCUGCGGCU